GGACUCUUCGACAAGACUCGCCGAGUCCAAGAACAGACUCGCUGAGUCUAAGGCUAUCUUCAACCUACUCGCCAAGUUGUUCAUACAACUCGCCGAGUUCCAGGCCAUCUUCAUCCAACUCGCCGAGUUGUUCUUCCAACUCGUCGAGUUCCAGCUCAUCUUCAAGCAACUCGUCGAGUCCACCCAUGUGACUCGCCGAGUACCACCGGUCUGAAUCCAUACAGAAGCAUUCCAGGCCAUGCAAUUGAUCCAAAACAUAGAUCUAGCCUCCUACAACCCAUCCAUCACGUAAAGUGGCAAACUUUACGUGAAUCCAAGGAGAUCUAGGCCUUAUACACUUUAGGGCUAGGGUGUGGGACAUGAUAGCUUCUCCCAACACUCAACACAGGGACUUUAUCCACAUUUGGACCAUCACCACUCCAGAUCUGAGGUAGCAACCUUAGAUCUAACUUCCAAACUCCAAAAUAUACCAAGAUAAGCUCCCCCACAAACCCCAAAAUGAUGAAUCCAAAGAGUAACAGCCCAAGGAUGAGAUAUUACCUCAAAAGAACGCCCCAACUGCAAUGGAACUCGAAUCCAAGCAAAGCCCCUUGCUCCAAGCCUCCUACCCUUCAAGAUUUCCUCAACAAUUGCUUCUCCAAGCUCCCAAAUGCAACUUGAUCCACUCACAUACGAAGGUUAGGGUUUCUGGACUUGAGGAUGAGUAAAGAGGCUGGGGGAAUGGAUGUUAUGUUCUUUAUAUAGGGCUUAACCCCGAGAAUUAGGGUUUUCUCCACUCAGCGCCUACUCGCCGAGACCAUCUCACUGACUCGCCGAGUCGGCUACUUAACACGCGACCAAGUCGCGACUGUACUCGCUGAGUCUACCCAUGGACUUGCCAAGUCGCUCUUUCCCAAUUUACUCUUUUAGCCCUUGAACUCUACUCUUGAUAUUUCGGGAUGUUACAAUUCUCCCCCACUUAAAUUAGGCUUCGUCCUCGAAGCCUACGGCAACACAACUCUUGGAAAUACUCCUGUCAUGCACUACCUGGCAUAAAUCCAUCCAGGUUUCUCAAAACACAACCAUAGAACCAGAAACUCGAUUUCUCCUUCCUUACGGUGUCCUGACCACCGUAUCGAGCCGGGCACCGGCUAUACCCUCUGAUAAUCACACUCAACAACCGAGAAUUACCCAUGAUGCAUCACUGCUCCGAAUCUCAGCAACCACUCGACCCAUAUGAGCUAGAAAACCAUGAACCAUCGGAUCCCCGAUCCGAAUCCCACUCUAUCCAUUCCAUGCUGACAGAAAGACCCAUUCUUCAAUCUCAGAGCAACUCCCACGAUUUCUCUUCUUGCAAUCACAUACACAUGCUGAACUAGCUCUAGCACCCUCAGGUUGGGAAAACUCGAUACAUUGAGGACACUCUCAAACAUCCUCAGGAUGAACCACUGAUACAUACACAAUUCCCUGAUCAGACUCACACUGAGAGCCCAAGACUCUCUCCCUGCAUCCCUUCCGAGCCUCUUGGCUCUACACCUAUGGAAUUCCCUCCGCGACCUCAGCAAACAUCCCAAACCGGAUGUGCUUCUAUUCCACUGUCGCAAACACGCUGCUCAAUAACCAUACUCAGAUUACUCUAAUCAUAACUCUGCUCUGCCACUUUCACUUCUGUGAACUUGCACUCCCUCUUGGAGUUACUCACCUCUCUCUUUUCCUUUACCAAGGAAUCCACUUGGCCACAUUGUCACUCCGACAAGUGCCACGGUGCUCUCCCCACGCUACACCACCCUUUUUAUAGCGUAACCGCUAUCCAUCCAACACACAUACUCUGACUCUCAUCGUAGGGACUCUCAAGCCCAUGCACUAUCUCAACUAAACAAGAUCACUACCCGGGGCCAGACCUUCUAAUGCAAUCACAUUGCAAAAUACACAAUCCAUAUCCUCGAACCGAUCCAACAAUACCUGCAGAGUCUUCAGCAUGACUGGACCGCCUCACCAGGCCUUCAACCAAUCUGGACCACUCUCAGAACCUUCAGCUAAUCUGGACCACUCUCAGAAUCUUCAGCCAAUCUGGACCGCUCUCAGAACCUUUAGUUUGGCUGGAGCGUUCUCCGAGCUUUUCAGCCUGACUGGUAUGCCUACCGGCCUUCAGUCUAACCGGACUGCUCAACUAGCAUACAUCAUUUCGAGCUAUCUCUCCUGGAAAUCCUCCCAUGCAUAUUGUUCUAACCCUCUAAGGGUUCCGAACUCUGUCUCAAUCACACAUGCUCGAUCCCGGCCUGCUCCCAGGCCCUCCACAAUCGAAUGCCCUAGGUCUGUAUUCCGCCCCGCAUGCCCGACACUUGCUCCUACCAGCCUACACUCUGGACUGACGGAACACUGCUGAAUCCCAACAGCUAAGCACCCUCAAAUACUCAUCGAUCUCCUGGAGAAUUUUCCAAUUCUCCCCCACUUGUAGCACUGAUUAACAACCACCGGUCGCCAACACCGACCACCCAAAACAACUCUGCACAAAACCAACACUUACACGCGGACUGAUUCCCACAAGCAUAAACAACCUUAACAAGAUCCCACAUCAACACUGAUAACUCGCUCGAAAGAAAUUCAACCUGCAUCAAACCACUCCUUAGAAAGCAGAUGCUACCCAGCCUUCAACCCAAUGCCGGGUUUCCACUAAUAACCCUCAUGGAUGAUAACCAACGAAAUUUCCAAAACAAUAACCCAUAACCAACCCAAAACUCUCAAAACGACGAAUACCCCAUCGAAAACCACACAAAGAUACCAGCACAUAAACAAUACACCACAAUAAUCACAAGAUAACAAGAUAUCAAGAAGGAAACAUACCCGCAGCUGCAUCCGGCACUGCUCUGACCUCCUCUGCUGAAAGCUGGAAAGCACGAACCUGAGCCCUUGGGGGCUCCGCUCCACCCUGACCUCCACCCAUGAUCCUCAAAGUGGCCGGUGCUAGAGCCUGCACCGGUCCUGCAGCAAGCUGCGGACAGUUGACCCUCAAAUGUCCAACCUGAUGACAAUGAUAACAAAUCGUCAAAUCCCGAACCGGCGCUGACUGCCGACAAUCCCUCGCAUAGUGCCCCUCCUUUCCGCACUUGCGGCAUGCACCACCGGACCUACAAACUCCGGUGUGACCCCUUCCAUACUCUCCCACCCUAGCAUCAACGGUCUUGGACCGUUUCGGCGCCGGCUGCGACUGCACCGGAGCCUGCCUCAGCUCACGCAACUGCAACUCAAUCUCUAACUCACGCCGCCUAGCGGCCUCCUGCAACUCCAACAAGGUCUCGCACCUCUGCGUAGACACAAACUGUCUGAUGUCCCUCUUGAGCAUGCUCAGAUAUCGAGACAUCUGAGCCUGCUCCGAAGCGAACUCUGGGCAAAACAUCGCCCUCUCAGUGAACAUCCUGGUGAUCUCAGUCACCGACUUCGAACCCUGCUUCAGCUCAAGGAACUCUUGAGCCAAUCUCUCCCUCUCAACUUGCGGAACAUAACGAGUGUUGAACAUCUCCCUGAACUGAUCCCAUGAAACCAUAGCCCUCUGCGCAUCUGAAUAUGACCCCGUGGUCAAUCUCCAGCAAUCCUUCGCCCCGAGCCCCAAUAGGUUCAGAGCACACCUCACCCUCUGAUCAGCAGGGCAUGAACACGUGAAGAAACACCCCUCCACGCCGGAUAACCAUCUCAUAGCGACGAUCGGGCCCUGAACUCCAUCAAAGGUGGGAGGCUUCGUAUUAUCGAUGUCCCGAUACUGAAAGCCCUGACCAGCUCCUCCUCCUGCCGCUGCUANNNNNNNNNNNNNNNNNNNNNNNNNNNNNNNNNNNNNNNNNNNNNNNNNNNNNNNAAUACUCAACCAUGGCGGUCUUGAUCGACCCAAACAGUUCCGGCAACUCAGCCCGGAACAACGCAGCAACCUCAUCAUGCAGGAUCUCACGAAUCCUCGCAUCCAACUCGCACGUGCUCAUAUGACCGAUAACCUCAGGCGGUACUGACCCUCCCGGAACUCCCUCUCCUGCUCCCGAUCCUGAUCCGGAUCCACUCUCAUCAUGCCUCGGAAUCUCCAUACUGAAAAACACCACACAAAACUCAGACUCUUCCCAUUAACCUGGGAUCCAACUCUCUCAACCCCACCCUAGAGAUCUUGGUUUCCCUGAUACGCGUAUGGGUCCUGUGCUUUCAGUAGUACGGGCCCAUACUACCUUCCACACCUACCCAUAUUUGUUUGAAGUACUACCACAACACCCUAGUGAAAACAUGCAUCACAACUCUCAACCCUCACCACUAGAGGAACACUGAAAAUCUCCCACAAGGAAACCCUAGGCUACAUGCAUCACAAAUCAGGCAACAUUAUCAUGAAAUCCUGAAGAUCCCUAGCCUAUCACUAGCAUGCUGUUCUAUGAAAUCUCAAAGACAAAUAACAUGCAUGGUAUUUUGGGGUUACUUACUGGCUCCGGCUGAUCGUACCUCUGCAUCCUCCUUUACUCAUUUUGAAAACCAUUUUAAACUCUCUUUUUGAAAACUCUCCUCGAUUUGAGACUGGAGUCACACGAGUGUUUCUCCAAUUCACUCAAACCAAGGCUCUGAUACCAACUUGUAACGACCAAAAAUUUCAACCAAUUUAAAAUUUUCGAAAACAACCCGAUUCCAUUAAAGUUAUUACAAAAAGGUUUUCAAUACAAUUUAUUUUAAGUAUUCCCAGAAUCUCAUCACAAUAUAAACACGAGGAGCGGUACGAUCACGCCUUCGCCUUGCCACGGUCUCCUGAAGAACCUGAAAAAAAUUAAACCACAACUGUAAGCCCGAAAGCUUAGUGAGAUAUCCCCAAAAUACCAACCACAUAUACCAUACACGCAUAACAUGCCAUAACAUAUCCGAUCACAGAACAACCAUGCACUUCGGGUCUACUGUGUGACUGGUCCGCCGCACCGGCCUACAGUCCACCUGGUCCACCCUCUGAGUCUAUCCACAUACAUCGAGUCUACAGUGUGAUUGGUCCGCCCGCUCCCGGGCCUUCAAUCCACCUGGUCCACUCUCUGAGUCUACAGUAUGACUGGUCCGCCCGCACCGGGCCUUCAGUCUGCCUAGUCCACUCUCCGAGCCUCGUCACGUCUGGUCCGCCCUCUUGGGGCCUACAGCCUAUCCGGACCGCUCGCUGGGCCUUCGGGACAACCGGUCCGCCCUGGGUAUCUUGGCCUACAGCACAAAGCAGGACCCGCCUCAACCCAACUCCAGUCCAAACAACCAUGUGCACAUAUACAUACAAUCAUAUAGCAAUUCACAGUCAACAAGCAGAUCAAACAGAUCACAUAACAUAUCAUCAUCCUAACCAGGAUACCGACCUAACAGGUCACUAGCAUAGCAUCUCCCUAUCUCUCAGGAUACCGAUCUCAAUCAGGUCUCUAACAUAUACCAUCCUAGCUCUCAGGAUGCAAACAUAUCAAAGCAACAACAUAACAACAACUACCCGGAUCUCAAUCCGAUAAGGGCCGGCCUUGGUGCCUUAGACCCUGUUGAUAUAGUGAGGAUAACUCAGCUCGAUACUGACGACUAAACACAUAACCCAAGCUGCUCCGAUCACUGAUACGAUCUCCACCACUGGACAACCACCAAAGCAAUGAACUCAAAAAAAUAACCAAUAAUUACCAAAAUACCCCUGGGAACCACUGGUCAACCCUUGGUCAAAGAUAAGGUCAAAGUCAAUCCCUGACUGACUCUACUCGCCGAGUCCCCAAGCUCAUAACUUCCCUCAAUCCGCGACCUAACUUGCCGAGUCACCCCGAGACUCGCCGAGUUCAAAANAGUCAUCCCUUGACUCGCCGAUUCUCGACUCAACCAGAAAAUAUUGGGACUCUUCGACAAGACUCGCCGCGUCCAAGAACAGACUCGCCGAGUCUAAGGCUAUCUUCAACCUACUCGCCGAGUUGUUCAUACAACUUGCCGAGUUCCAGGCCAUCUUCAUCCAACUCGCCGAGUUGUUCUUCCAACUCGUCGAGUUCAAUCUUAUCUUCAAGCAACUCGUCGAGUCCACCCAUGUGACUCGCCGAGUACCACAGGUCUGAAUCCAUACAGAAGCACUCCAGGCCAUGCAAUUGAUCCAAAACAUAGAUCUAGCCUCCUACAGCCCAUCCAUCACGUAAAGUGGCAAACUUUACGUGAAUCUAAGGAGAUCUAGGCCUUAUACACUUUAGGGCUAGGGUUUGGGACAUGAUAGCUUCUCUAAACACUCAACACAGGGACUUUAUGCAUAUUUAGACCAUCACCACUCCAGAUCUGAGGUAGCAACCUUAGAUCUAACUUCCAAACUCCAAAAUAUACCAAGAUAAGCUCCCCC
rnacentral:lncRNA from 1 species